AUAUCAAUAAGCGGAGGAAAAGAAACCAACAGGGAUUGCCCUAGUAACGGCGAGUGAAGCGGCAACAGCUCAAAUUUGAAAUCUGGCUCUCGGGCCCGAGUUGUAAUUUGUAGAGGAUACUUUUGAUGCGGUGCCUUCCGAGUUCCCUGGAACGGGACGCCAUAGAGGGUGAGAGCCCCGUCUGGUUGGAUGCCAAAUCUCUGUAAAGUUCCUUCAACGAGUCGAGUAGUUUGGGAAUGCUGCUCUAAAUGGGAGGUAUAUGUCUUCUAAAGCUAAAUACCGGCCAGAGACCGAUAGCGCACAAGUAGAGUGAUCGAAAGAUGAAAAGCACUUUGAAAAGAGAGUUAAAAAGUACGUGAAAUUGUUGAAAGGGAAGCGUUUAUGACCAGACUUGGGCUUGGUUAAUCAUCUGGGGUUCUCCCCAGUGCACUUUUCCAGUCCAGGCCAGCAUCAGUUUUCCCCGGGGGAUAAAGGCGGCGGGAAUGUGGCUCUCUUCGGGGAGUGUUAUAGCCCACCGUGUAAUACCCUGGGGGAGACUGAGGUUCGCGCAUCUGCAAGGAUGCUGGCGUAAUGGUCAUCAACG
rnacentral:rRNA from 1 species